rnacentral:rRNA from 1 species
CCUACGGGUGGCAGCAGUCGGGAAUAUUGCGCAAUGGAGGAAACUCUGACGCAGUGACGCCGCGUAUAGGAAGAAGUUUUUCGGAAUGUAAACCAUUGUCGUUAGGGAAGAGAAAGGACAGUACCUAAGGAGGAAGCUCCGGCGAACUACGUGCCAGCAGCCGCGGUAAUACGGAGGAUGCGAGCGUAAUCCGGAUUUAUUGGGGUUAAAGGGUGCGUAGGCGGAAUGUUAAGUCAGCGGUAAAAGCCCGGGGCUCAACCCCGGCGAGCCGUGGAAACUGGGUGCCUUGAGAUGUCGAGAGGUAUGCGGAAUGCGCAGUGUAGCGGUGAAAUGCUUAGAUAUUGCGCAGAACUCCGAUUGCGAAGGCAGCAUACCGGCGGCGAUCUGACGCUGAGGCACGAAAGCGUGGGUAUCGAACAGGAUUAGAUACCCGGGUAGUC